rnacentral:rRNA from 1 species
GAUGAACGCUAGCGGGAGGCCUAACACAUGCAAGCCGAGCGGUAUUGUUUCUUCGGAAAUGAGAGAGCGGCGUACGGUGCGGACACGUGUGCAACCUGCCUUUAUCUGGGGGAUAGCCUUUCGAAAGGAAGAUUAAUACUCCAUAAUAUAUUGAACGGCAUCGUUUAAUAUUGAAAGCUCCGGCGGAUAGAGAUGGGCACGCGCAAGAUUAGCUAGUUGGUGAGGUAACGGCUCACCAAGGCAAUGAUCUUUAGGGGGCCUGAGAGGGUGAUCCCCCACACUGGUACUGAGACACGGACCAGACUCCUACGGGAGGCAGCAGUGAGGAAUAUUGGUCAAUGGGUGCAAGCCUGAACCAGCCAUCCCGCGUGAAGGACGACUGCCCUAUGGGUUGUAAACUUCUUUUGUAUAGGGAUAAACCUACCCUCGUGAGGGUAGCUGAAGGUACUAUACGAAUAAGCACCGGCUAACUCCGUG